UACGUAGGGGGCUAGCGUUGUCCGGAAUCAUUGGGCGUAAAGCGCGUGUAGGCGGUCCGGUAAGUCCGCUGUGAAAGUCGGGGGCUCAACCCUCGAAUGCCGGUGGAUACUGUCGGGCUAGAGUGCGGAAGAGGCGACUGGAAUUCCUGGUGUAGCGGUGAAAUGCGCAGAUAUCAGGAGGAACACCGGUGGCGAAGGCGGGUCUCUGGGCCGAUACUGACGCUGGAGGAGCGAAAGCGUCGGGGAGCGAACAGG
rnacentral:rRNA from 1 species